rnacentral:rRNA from 1 species
GUAUAAGCCCUUCGGGGGAAAGAUUUAUCGGGAAAGGAUUGGCCCGCGUUAGAUUAGAUAGUUGGUGGGGUAAUGGCCUACCAAGUCUACGAUCUAUAGCUGGUUUUAGAGGAUGAUCAGCAACACUGGGACUGAGACACGGCCCAGACUCCUACGGGAGGCAGCAGUGGGGAAUCUUAGACAAUGGGCGCAAGCCUGAUCUAGCCAUGCCGCGUGUGUGAUGAAGGUCUUAGGAUCGUAAAGCACUUUCGCCAGGGAUGAUAAUGACAGUACCUGGUAAAGAAACCCCGGCUAACUCCGUGCCAGCAGCCGCGGUAAUACGGAGGGGGUUAGCGUUGUUCGGAAUUACUGGGCGUAAAGCGUACGUAGGCGGAUCAGAAAGUAGGGGGUGAAAUCCCAGGGCUCAACCCUGGAACUGCCUCCUAAACUCCUGGUCUUGAGUUCGAGAGAGGUGAGUGGAAUUCCAAGUGUAGAGGUGAAAUUCGUAGAUAUUUGGAGGAACACCAGUGGCGAAGGCGGCUCACUGGCUCGAUACUGACGCUGAGGUACGAAAGUGUGGGGAGCAAACAGGAUUAGAUACCCUGGUAGUCCACACCGUAAACGAUGAAUGCCAGUCGUCGGGCAGUAUACUGUUCGGUGACACACCUAACGGAUUAAGCAUCCGC